GCUGGUGUGGCUCAGUGGACAGAGCGUCGGCCUGCGAACCGAAGGGUCCCGGGUUUGAUUCCGGUCAAGGGCA
rnacentral:tRNA from 1 species